UACGUAGGUGGCAAGCGUUGUCCGGAAUUAUUGGGCGUAAAGCGCGCGCAGGCGGUUAUGUAAGUCUGAUGUUAAAGCCCGGGGCUCAACCCCGGUUCGCAUUGGAAACUGCGUAACUUGAGUGCAGAAGAGGAAAGUGGUAUUCCACGUGUAGCGGUGAAAUGCGUAGAGAUGUGGAGGAACACCAGUGGCGAAGGCGACUUUCUGGUCUGUAACUGACGCUGAGGCGCGAAAGCGUGGGGAGCAAACAGGAUUAGAAACCCCGGUAGUCC
rnacentral:rRNA from 1 species